GUCACUUUGGCGGAGUGGUUAACGCGCUGCCCUGCUAUUGCUCAGCAAAGGCAGUUCCUUCGGGAGCGUAGGUUCGAAUCCUGCAGGUGACG